UACGUAGGUGGCAAGCGUUAUCCGGAAUUACUGGGCGUAAAGCGCACGCAGGCGGCUCGUCAAGUUCGACGUGAAAGCUCCCGGCUUAACUGGGAGAGGUCGUUGAAAACUGGCGAGCUUGAGGCAAUGAGAGGGGUGUAGAAUUCCCGGUGUAGCGGUGAAAUGCGUAGAGAUGUGGAGGAACACCGAUGGCGAAGGCAGCCUUCUGGGCCAACACUGACGCUCAUGCACGAAAGCGUGGGGAGCAAACAGG
rnacentral:rRNA from 1 species